rnacentral:rRNA from 1 species
GUGGGGAAUCUUCCGCAAUGGACGAAAGUCUGACGGAGCAACGCCGCGUGAGUGAAGAAGGUUUUCGGAUCGUAAAGCUCUUUCGUUAGGGACGAACGUGCUCUUUGUGAAUAAUGAGGAGUAAUGACGGUACCUAAAUAAGAAGCCACGGCUAACUACGUGCCAGCAGCCGCGGUAAUACGUAGGUGGCAAGCGUUGUCCGGAAUUAUUGGGCGUAAAGCGCGCGCAGGCGGGAUAUCAAGUCUGUCUUAAAAGUGCGAGGCUCAACCUCGUGAGGGGACAGAAACUGGUAUUCUUGAGUGUCGGAGAGGAAAGUGGAAUUCCAAGUGUAGCGGUGAAAUGCGUAGAGAUUUGGAAGAACACCAGUGGCGAAGGCGACUUUCUGGACGAUGUCUGACGCUGAGGCGCGAAAGCCAGGGGAGCGAACGGGAUUAGAUACCCGUGUAGUCC